rnacentral:rRNA from 1 species
ACGGGUGAGGAACACGUAGGAACUUGCCCUUUAGAGGGGGAUAACCAAGGGAAACUUUGGCUAAUACCGCGUAAUCUCGAAAGAGGAAAGCUGCCCGUAAGGGUAGCGCUAAAGGAGAGGCCUGCGUCCGAUUAGCUAGUUGGUGAGGUAAAGGCUCACCAAGGCGAUGAUCGGUAACUGGUCUGAGAGGACGACCAGUCACACUGGGACUGAGACACGGCCCAGACUCCUACGGGAGGCAGCAGUGGGGAAUAUUGGACAAUGGGGGCAACCCUGAUCCAGCGAUGCCGCGUGGGUGAAGAAGGCCUUCGGGUUGUAAAGCCCUUUAGGUUGGGAAGAAGAGUGUUGAGUGAAUAACUCAGCGAUUUGACGGUACCGACAGAAUAAGCACCGGCAAACUCUGUGCCAGCAGCCGCGGUAAUACAGAGGGUGCGAGCGUUAAUCGGAGUUACUGGGCGUAAAGGGCGCGUAGGCGGUUAAGUGAGUGUGAUGUGAAAGCCCCGGGCUUAACCUGGGAAGUGCAUCGCAAACGACGUAACUGGAGUAUAAGAGAGGGUGGCGGAAUUUCCGGU